rnacentral:lncRNA from 1 species
UAGGCUUAAAGCAAAGGGAGAUAAGCUUGUGUUCUAGAUUUGUAUUCUUAGUGGAGUACUGGUUCCAUUCCUGUUAUCGGUAGCCAUCUCUAAAGCUGCCCACAGUUCCGAGUUCAAUCCUUAUUGGUAUUGAUGUGAUUUCCGAGUUCCUAGGUGAAGUCUUGUUAACAGUGAUUUUCAACCUUGGGAACAGCAGUUACAUUCCGAUUGAUAAGUGCAAUGAUUACUAGUAGUUAGCCGGAUUCCCACUUGAUGUUUGGCUCCUUGUUUCGUUCUGUAUCUCUAUUGCUGGAUUCUCUAUAGCAGUAGCUCACUUAUAG